ensembl:lncRNA
GUUAAAAUGUCAAUGUCAAGUGGGGUAUUUAAAUGUUUCUUUACUGACGUUCACACAGCCUCAGUUACUUAUUGACCUCAUCCACUGUGUUUGUGCCUCUCUGUGACAACAUGUCUCAAACUUAACCACACAGAAAUACAGAAAGAAAUGGAAAUCCAACCCUGAUUUCAAAGGUUGGUUGAAACCAGUUAUUUGAGAUGAUACACAGGCAUACUUUCUGUAGUGUAAAGCAGAGUUUUAUGCCAAAAAAAAAAAUUCAAAAGGCAAAGCCGUACAGUUCUACCCUAAGCAAGCUACCAAUAAACACAUUGACUCUGCAAAAAAGGCAAAAGACACCAUGGUAUUAGCUAUUGCUGAACACUGUUCAUGCACUGAACUUGCUGGCAGAGCCAGCCCUUCCUGUAGACCAGGGCUCUUCAACGUUUUUCAGGCUAAGAUUCCCCAAACUGAUCUGUCUAUGCCAACUAUGUAAAGCACUAUAGAAAUUAAAUGUAUUAUUACUAAAAUAUUCGAGACUCGAACCUGAGUCUCCUACGUCCUAAACAAAAAGCUUUAGCCCUGCUACAUAAUGUGUGAGUAAAACAGACAUUUUGCGAUCUUUGGGAAAACUAGGUUAUUUUUUUUAGCUAGGUCAUAGCACACAAUUGGGUGCCGACACAAUUCCGAGCAAGGGUGCGGGAGGAGAUGCGUGUCAAACUUUUUUACGGAAGGGGAAUAACAGAACUAGAAAAUUCCGCAGAAAUUGUUAGAGUGUCGUAAUGUUGGCUAGACUUGCAUUAAAAACUAAACAAAAAAGAGAGAUUCGAAUCCGGGUCUUCUACAUACAAAAAAAAAUACCACUGGGCUAACUGCACUGCAUAAAACAGGCAGAGUAAAUGGGGAUUUCAUCUAGAACCCACAUACAUUGUACUCCAUUCGUUCCAGUGGAGCUUUUUUGCUCGGCCGUUAACACCAGCUGUAAUACUAUUCAGCAUAGUAGUAUUUGUAGUAACAUUAGUAGUAGUUGUAGUAUUAAUAGCAGUAAUGUCAGUUGCAGAGUCAGUACUAGAAGUAGUAGUAUUUUUAGUAGUAGUACUAGUUUUAGUAGUCAUUUUAAUACCAGUAGAACUACUAGUAGUGAUAAUAAUAGAAUUAUUUAGUUAGUUGUACUACAAGUUGUAGUAGUAGUAUUAAUAGCAGUAUGAAUACUAGUAGUACAAGUAGUACAGUUGCAGUGUCAUUGCAAUUUUUAGUAUUAACACUAAUAGUAUUAGUAGUAAUAGUAAGAGUAAGUUUAGUAUUAAUACCAGUUUGAAUACUACUACUACUAGUACUGAGACUACUACUACUACUAUACUACUACUAGUAGUAGUAGUAGAAGUACUGAGACAGUGAGCGAUUAAGAGUAAGGAGUGGUCGGGGGGGCAAGCGAGGGGUUUCAUGACAGAGAGCAUAGCUGCGUCAUGUCACUCCACUAAUCAGCUAUUAUGGUUCAGCUGUGUUCAGACUCUACCAAACGCGACCAUGUGGUGUAUAUGUCUGUCCGGUAAUAAAUAUGACUCCACUGGCAGUUUACAAAACGUGUACCCCCUGUUGAACUAGAAAAUACAUUUCCUAUAGAAAAUGCGAUGCAAUGCUGAAAGCUUAGAAGCUGAAAGCUGUAAUUCAUUUUGAAAAAUUGCUGAAAGUACAGAAAUGGCAGAAGCUGAUAGGAAUUUCAAUCCAUUUGUUGAAAAUAAAGAAAUGAGAAAAGCUAAAAAUGACUAGAAAAAUUGCUAAAAGAAUACAGAAGAGAAUAUCAAAACAUUGCUAAAAAUGCAGACAUCAGAAAAGCCUAAAUAAAUUUGAAAGAAUUGAUGAAAAUACAGAAAUGGGAGAAGCUGAAUUACCAGAAAUUGCUGAAAAUGCAUAAAUGGCAGAAAAUAAAAUGAAUUUGAAAAAAACACAGGAAUAAAAAAUAUUGCUGAAAAUACAAAAAUCACAAAAGCUGGCAUGAAUAUUAAAAAAUAUAUUUGAAGCAUUAAUAUUUGUAGUAAUUGUAAUUUUGGUACUAGUAAUACUAGCAGUAGAGGAAGUAGUAGUUUUAUUAUCAAUAGCAUUAGAAAAGUAAUAGUGUUAGUACUAAUAUUAUCAGCUGUAGUACUACUGCCAUUAGUCAUAGUAGUAUUUGUAAUAAAACCAAUAGCAGCAUAAAUAGUAGUACUUUUUGUUUUAGUAGAAAUAUCAGUUGCAGUGUCAUUACUACUACUGGUAGUAUUAAGCAAUUUUAGUAUGAAUCAUUUUAGUAAUAAUAGCAGUAGUGUCAGUACAACUACAACUGAUACAAUUACUAUCAGUAAUAAGUUGGUCAAUAUUGGUCAGUACCUGGGGGUUGUAAUAAGGUACUUCAGUGACAAAGACACAAUUGGCUCAACAUUUCUGGGGCUUGUUGAGUUGGAUGGGGGAUCUAUAGCCCGAGCUGUUGUGGCCUUCCUGGAGAAGAGUGCUCUUAAAAAGAGAAACUGGAUAUAGGGGAAAAAAUAGGGUACAUAAAGUGCUAAAGAAGUGGCUGUCAAAGAUUUAAUUGUUUUUUGCUGUGUGUGUUGCUCUAUGCAACUUGAUGUAACUUAUGCGUCCAAUGACACCAUCCCCCGUAGUACUUCAAAGCGUAAGGAGGCCUACAAGGCCUUAUAUGAGACCAUCAACUGUUGGGAGAAACCCUUAUUAAUAACCAGGGUCUGGCUCUCAUUGAACGGUUUUAUGCAUUUUGGAAUAGUGGGAGGCACUUAAAAUACAUUUUGAAGUCUCCAAGUCCAGUGAACACAGCUGCAUGCCUGAGGUUUACACUCCAAGACUGCAAGAUUUAAAAAAUAAUAAUAAUACGAUGUAUUUUUGCAAUAGCAGACAGAACAAUUAUAACUUUAUUAAGUUAUUUGAAAUCUAAUACUUUAAUCAAUCUUCCUCACUAGAAUGCUUUUUACAUGUAUUAAAAGGUGUAGGUAUCGAAAACAUCCAAGUAGUCACCAAGAGGCUGAGUAGGUGAGAUUGUCCUGAAGACGCACUUCCUUCAAUGAGUUCAGGAUCCAGUGACAGCGUUUUGUAUUAUUGUUUAGAACAGAUAGAUAUAACGUGUUGGAAAGCACACAUUCACUACUGCUCAAGGUGAUACAAUAUGUAUGUAUCAACCUUAGACCCUGUGCAGGCGGAAUCUAGUUUGCCUGAACCGGGUUCAUUUUUCACACCUACCCACUUUUUAAAUCGCGUGCACAUGAACCCAGUGAAUCUGAUUGACUCCGCUGUAGUACAUCCCCCAUGCCUGUUGGUGGCGCUUUAAGGUGCUACAGACAACUUAAGAAAACGGAAGGAGAAGACAGGAGCAUGCGUAUAAGACAUGUGCGCAGUAUACAAACGAAAAGAACUGACAAUAUUCCCGUGGUACGCAUUGUAGACUUGUUAGCACAUUCAGCAGGCACAUUAUCCUUGCGUUCGCCAUUGUUGUUGUUAUGAAGUGACGCAUUGGGGUUAAUAAGGGUUCAGCGUGAGGUUGCAUGCAAUCACGUGAUGCAAUCAGGUGGGGCAAUCCGAUUAGGUAUGCGGAUAGCGUGCAGACGAACACCAACAGCAAUCGGAUUUCGAGUUUAUUCACUUUGGACCCCCGAUUCGAGGGAGUGCGGAUACAGUGUGCGGAUACAGUGCGUUCGUCUGCACGAUAGGGCUAUCCGGAGACGGGGUUCACCGGGUUCAGGCAAACUAGAGUCUGUCUGCACGGGGUGUGAAUUUCCUUUAACAAACCAGCGGUAAAAGAAUAAAAGAGGCCUACUUUGCUGAAUAAUAUAACCUUAAACAAUCCAUAUAAUCCAGGGAAGCAAAAUGGGUCUUUAACAUUUAAUUAUUAGAAAAGGCUGAGUAGAAAAGUUUUGUAAUAAUAGCCCUUCAGAGGAAUCCUAAGCAUUUAUCCAGGGAUAAGGCCUGUGGUUGUUUGCUUUGUAAUUAAGGAAACCACGGCUCCUCAGCUCUCCUCCUCCUCUUUUUCUCUACUUGUCCGCAGCAGCGUUCACUAUAAUCUUUGGUCCUAAUAAGACAUGAAGAUGCAUGUGCGUACAUACACACACACACACACACACACACGCGCGCACGCACACGCACGCACUAAUCGACACACACAUAUUCUAUGUGAAAUCCCUUUAGCUGGAAGAGCAUGUCGGAUUAGCUCUGCAGCGACCAGGCUAUAUAUAGAAGUCAUCAUGGGCUUUCAGGCCCCCUCAUCCAUUCUCCCUCUCUUCUUUUUUUUCUAUAUUAACCGCACCAGUGGUUUUCUUUUCCUAAAGUGCUUUCUUGCCGGACAGCCCAUCCACACUGCUGUCCUUGAAAAGGUUACGCACAUGUUUCAUUCUUCACCAUUUUGUCUGUCUCCUGCAGAGAGAGAAGGGAGGGAGACUGUCCUUCCUGAUUGAGAAUGAUUAAAAGCAGCGGGUUGUCACAUCCUGCUAGCACUGAUGACACAACAAAAUGACAGCGUAUUAAAAACAGUAAAAGGAGGAGGAGGACUGAGCAGCAGCGACAAAACAUAAAGGAACUGCAAUCUGUUCCGACAAAUUUAUAUUGAAAAGACCCUCAAGUCCCUUGUGUCUGGAUAGCCCCCCCUCCCUUUCCCUCCCUGCCCUCCCAGUUGCUACAUCAUACACCGA